UUGCUCGCCGCUCGUUUGCUCGCCGCUCGUUUGCUCGCCGCUCGUUUGCUCGCCGCCAGUUCCCAUCGGCGGUCUCGUAUCCAAGAAUCUGCAGGGGCUCGUUCCUAAUAUUGCAUUUGAAGCACAAGAAUGACCAGCACCCGGGCUGUUUCCAGGUAUUCUGGGUUUGAACGCAUCAGCAACUGCUUCUGAAUUAGAAUACGACCCUUGUUUGGUGAACGAAUGGCCUGCUCCGGGACUGCUACCUAGGGUGAACGAAUGGCCUGCUUUGGUGCAGCUGUUAAAGGGUUUUGCAAUGCAUUGGAGUCAGUUGUAGUUAAAGGCUCAAAGCCCACACAAGGUGCAAAGGGUGAGCAUGUCGCAUGGGUCUAAGAUCUUAAAAAGCGCAGGCUCGAGACAAGCAAGGCGCACGUCCGGUCCAGGCCAUUGUUAGGUGUUUCAGACUUGUUUUCGGCUGUUUUACACUGGUUUAGAUUGUUUAGACUGAUUCAAAGCGUUUGAAACUACUUUUGGCGGUUAAGACAAGUUUUUUACCGGUUCAAGCCUGUUUGUUCCUGGUUUAAAGGAAUCUACUAGCAUCUCUUCUUGAAGAAGAAAGAAACCUACUUGUAACUCGUCUUGACGAAGAAAGGAAAGCAAGGGAAGAACUUCAAAAACAACU
rnacentral:lncRNA from 1 species